rnacentral:lncRNA from 1 species
AGGAGAAUGGCGUGAACCCAGGAGAUGGAGCUUGCAGUGAGCCGAGAUCGCGCCAAUGCACUCUAGCCUGGACGACACAAGGAGACUCCAUCUCAAAACAACAACAACAACAACAACAACAACAACAACAACAACAAAAACAACAAAAACCAGCUGAGCAGCGCGGGCCUUCUGGCAGCGGGUCCAGCUCCAGGGCGCCCUAGGGCAGCGGCGUGCAGUGUUCGGGUAAUAGGACGCAGACGGUGGGGUCGCCGGGGGCUUCGGGGUGGCCUCGGCCCCAGGCCAUCCAGCCCUGUGGACCGAAUGGAGUCCCACACGCUGUUGAGGUAGUUGUGGGUUCCCCUGGCCUCGGGCUCGGCGCAGGGUCAGCGCUCCUGCAGGCGGCGCUUGCGGUACGGGCUGGUGAAAGUGGAGACGGACGGCAGGAUGGAUUCACUUGGCGACAUGGCGGGGAGCUGGGAAGACGGACACCGGAACGUGAGGAACACGAGUAGUUCAAGAAAAUGCUGAAGAUGCGCUUGGCUGGGAAGCUAGGAUAGGCUGACGAAGUCAGACUUAGUGUGGGAACCUGGCUGGGAAAGGGUUUCUUCUGUCCAUAAAAGCUACUCCAAUGGCUGUGGGAGACUUAAUUCCAAUUCCAGGUGAUACAGCCGUCAGUCUCCCACUAGCUGUAGGAUGGUGUGCUGCAGUUCACAGGGCAAAGGAGAUAGAAGUGGAUGAAAUGACAGAGUAUUUUUUUAAUUGAACUCUGAUUAAUGCCAAAAGUGUUCAAUCACUAUGUGUGGGGAAGUUUCCUGGUACAAAGGAAAAAAAAACAGGUUGUUCAUACACUUGGCUGUGUUAACCUAAGUCAAUGUUAGUCUACCACUGUACGUCUGGUAACCUCAAUCCCUGCAACCGGAGCAAAAUGUGAUUCCAGGUCUUGGCAACCUCUGAAAUUCCAACUCCAUUUGCGAGAGCUUUGAGGAGGCCAUAUGCUGAUUUCACCACAAGCAACUUCACAACCCAGUACUGGAAUGCCAUCAGCCAGCAGGCCCCUGCCAUUAUCUGUGACUUCUAUCUGUGGCUCAUUGGAAGGAAACCCAGCUACCGAAGGAAGAUACCCUCAUCAACCCAAUUUUACAAAUGGAGAAAUAGAAGCUCAGGGAAGAAUCUGAAGUAGUCUCAAAGGAAGUGACAGGAAGGAUGUGGAGAAAGCUGAGUGUCAAAGUCAGUAUUCAAGACCGGAUUUACUGCUACUUAGAGAUGAAUGAAGAAAUCAGAGGGAACGCAGUGUGCUGAUGCUAAAGCGGCUGUCACCACCCAGCUGUGUGACAUAGGACAUCUUCUUUCUCUGUCUCACUUGACUAAUAUGUUGUGUCAGGGGAGACAUGAUUGUAAUUGCCUAAAGCAAUUCUUGUGAUCAAGAAUCAGAAGCAUGAACAGUAUUGCCCUCUGUGUUAGCCCCUUUAUAAGGGAGGAAGUCAUCUUCAGCAUGCUGAAUUGUCAUCUUUCUUAGCAGUGCAAAUGACUAAAACUUAGCCAAUGUAGAGUUUGUCCAAAUUUGGAGCUCAUAACUCAGUUCUUGAGCAAAGUGAAAAGAAAACAUUGUGAUUAUGGGGAAAAUAUUUGUACGGGACUUAUCAAAUAAAGAUAGGAAAAGAAGAAAACUCAAAUAUUAUAGGCAGAAAUGCUAAAGGUUUUAAAAUAUGUCAGGAUUGGAAGAAGGCAUGGAUAAAGAACAAAGUUCAGUUAGGAAAGAGAAACACAGAAGGAAGAGACACAAUAAAAGUCAUUAUGUAUUCUGUGAGAAGUCAGACAGUAAGAUUUGUGGGAAAUGGGUUGGUUUGUUGUAUGGUAUGUAUUUUAGCAAUAAUCUUUAUGGCAGAGAAAGCUAAAAUCCUUUAGCUUGCGUGAAUGAUCACUUGCUGAAUUCCUCAAGGUAGGCAUGAUGAAGGAGGGUUUAGAGGAGACACAGACACAAUGAACUGACCUAGAUAGAAAGCCUUAGUAUACUCAGCUAGGAAUAGUGAUUCUGAGGGCACACUGUGACAUGAUUAUGUCAUUACAUGUAUGGUAGUGAUGGGGAUGAUAGAAGGAAGAACUUAUGGCAUAUUUUCACCCCCACAAAAAUCAGUUAAAUAUUGGGACACUAACCAUCCAGGUCAAGAAAAGUCACAUGCCAUAGCCAUGGUAUUGCACAUCAUUCAUCUUGCAUUCUUUGAGAAUAAGAAGAUCAGUAAAUAGUUCAGAAGUGGGAAGCUUUGUCCAGGCCUGUGUGUGAACCCAAUGUUUUGUUUAGAAAUAGAACAAGUAAGUUCAUUGCUAUAGCAUAACACAAAAUUUGCAUAAGUGGUGGUCAGCAAAUCCUUGAAUGCUGCUUAAUGUGAGAGGUUGGUAAAAUCCUUUGUGCAACACUCUAACUCCCUGAAUGUUUUGCUGUGCUGGGACCUGUGCAUGCCAGACAAGGCCAAGCUGGCUGAAAGAGCAACCAGCCACCUCUGCAAUCUGCCACCUCCUGCUGGCAGGAUUUGUUUUUGCAUCCUGUGAAGAGCCAAGGAGGCACCAGGGCAUAAGUCUACUCACUUAUAUCUGUUUGUCUGGAACAUAACCCAUGUUUGUUUUUACAACAAAUAAAAUUGAUCUUGAAUAAAAA